GAUGAACGCUGGCGGCGUGCCUAAUACAUGCAAGUAGAACGCUGAAGGAGGAGCUUGCUCUUCUGGCUGAGUUGCGAACGGGUGAGUAACGCGUAGGUAACCUGCCUGGUAGCGGGGGAUAACUAUUGGAAACGAUAGCUAAUACCGCAUGACAACAGUUAUUGCAUGAUAACGGUUGAAAAGGGGCAACUGCUGCACUACCAGAUGGACCUGCGUUGUAUUAGCUUGGGGGGGGGGUAAGGGGUCACAAAGGCGAAGAUACAUAGCCGGCGUGGGAGGGUGAUCGGCCACACUGGGACUGGGACACGGCCCAGGCUCCCUCGGGGAGCAGCAGUAGGGAAACAUCGGCAAUGGACGGAAAUCUGACCGAACACCGCCGCGGGAGGGAAGAAAGGUUUCGGGUCGUAAAGCUCUGUUGUAAGAGAAGAACGAGUAUGAGGGUGGAAAGUUCACGCUGUGACGGUACCUUACCAGAAAGCAACGGCUAACUACGUG
rnacentral:rRNA from 1 species